rnacentral:rRNA from 2 species
UUCGAACGCGGUUGGCCCAAUUGAUUGACGGUGCUUGCACCUGAUUGAUUUUGGUCGCCAACGAGUGGCGGACGGGUGAGUAACACGUAGGUAACCUGCCCAGAAGCGGGGGACAACAUUUGGAAACAGAUGCUAAUACCGCAUAACAGCGUUGUUCGCAUGAACAACACUUAAAAGAUGGCUUCUCGCUAUCACUUCUGGAUGGACCUGCGGUGCAUUAGCUUGUUGGUGGGGUAACGGCCUACCAAGGCGAUGAUGCAUAGCCGAGUUGAGAGACUGAUCGGCCACAAUGGGACUGAGACACGGCCCAUACUCCUACGGGAGGCAGCAGUAGGGAAUCUUCCACAAUGGGCGCAAGCCUGAUGGAGCAACACCACGUGAGUGAAGAAGGGUUUCGGCUCGUAAAGCUCUCUUGUUAAAGAAGAACACGUAUGAGAGUAACUGUUCAUACGUUGACGGAAUUUAACCAGAAAGUCACGGCUAACUACGUGCCAGCAGCCGCGGUAAUACUUAGGUGGC